UACGGGGGGGGCAAGCGUUGUUCGGAAUUACUGUGCGUAAAGGGCUCGUAGGCGGCCAACUAAGUCAGACGUGAAAUCCCUCGGCUUAACCGGGGAACUGCGUCUGAUACUGGAUGGCUUGAGUUUGGGAGAGGGACGCGGAAUUCCAGGUGUAGCGGUGAAAUGCGUAGAUAUCUGGAGGAACACCGGUGGCGAAGGCGGCGUCCUGGACCAACACUGACACUGAUGAGCGAAAGCCAGGGGAGCAAACGGG
rnacentral:rRNA from 1 species